UGCCUCCUGGCGCCCUUUUCCGCCCAGAAAGCAGGAGCCCGCCUAGUCCUUCAUGGCGGGAGAACAGCGCCCUCGUGUGGACUGCCGGGUUCUUGGUGCUAGAGGCAGUUUGGGUCCGUUGCCUUUUCACUACUCCGGACACACAUUGUUUUUCAGCAAAUGAGAAAGCCGCAUAAGCAGCAUCCCAGGCAGUUUCUUUGCAGAAAACUUGGUAAGGAUCAAACAGAAAUAAGCCAAGUGCAGCGAUUUCCCUCACCCACAUCAUUCACCUCC
rnacentral:lncRNA from 1 species